ACUCCUGUGGCCUAUUGGUUAGAGUAUCUGCCUCGGAUGCCAAGCAUGCGGGAGGUCAUAGGUUCGAUCCCUGGUCAAGUCAUUAGGAGGU